rnacentral:misc_RNA from 1 species
UCCGGUUUGUCACCGGCAGUCUCCUUAGAGUUCCCACCAUCACGUGCUGGCAAAUAAGGACAAGGGUUGCGCUCGUUACGGGACUUAACCCAACAUUUCACAACACGAGCUGACGACAGCCAUGCAGCACCUGUCUCAGAGCUCCCGAAGGCACCAAGCCAUCUCUGGCGAGUUCUCUGGAUGUCAAGAGUAGGUAAGGUUCUUCGCGUUGCGUCGAAUUAAACCACAUGCUCCACCGCUUGUGCGGGCCCCCGUCAAUUCAUUUGAGUUUUAACCUUGCGGCCGUACUCCCCAGGCGGUCGACUUAGUGCGUUAGCUGCGCCACUAAGAGAUCAAGUCUCCCAACGGCUAGUCGACAUCGUUUACGGCGUGGACUAC